UCAUUUCUCCCUGCACAGAUUAGGAGCCUGUGUUUUUAUUUGCACGUAACCGAUGGGAACAGGGGGUCCUCUCCAGGUUAGUACAGUCCAGGCUGAAUUUAAGGAGACCCAGUAUUCAUCUAGCUGAAACAGCAACUCACAAUCUCACUCCACCCCCGACUCUCCUUAUUCAGCAUUUGCUUUUCUCCCUCUCUCAAUGAUUCUAGAAUCAGUUUUUAAAUUUACAUUUUGUUGUUAGUUUCAUCUACAGCACCUACUUAAUUGGUCCCAGGAAAAUUGAAACAAUCACACCAGGCUGCUAAUUAGCUUAGGGUCAGUUUUAGGAGACCUCAAAGUUGGGAGUGUUUCAUAUAAAUACCAAAAGCACAAUGAGUAGGGACUUUACAUCCUUACAAAAAUCUGACAGGGGAAAGAUUGUUAGCGGGGUCUUAGGAAUAUAAUGCAGCCUUAAUUACCCACAGGGAGCACACACAUAUGUGCAUUAUAUAAGCUGGACUAGGAUGCACUUUGACUCUAGAACAACUGAAUCGUUGGUAUCUAGUAGCCCUGAGACUGGGAGGAAGGGUGCGGAGGAAGCCCUUCUACAUGCAUUAUGCUUACAGAUGGAGCACAAGCUUGAGUGUCUGAUGACUGCACCAAGGUUGUUUCUUGGAGCUGACACUUGUAGCCCGAGGAAGCAGAUCUUCAUGGAUGGCAGUAAAGGAGUCCACAAAGAUGGAGAAAUAGGGUAUAAAGGGAAUGCUAUUGUUAAAGCAGGGGUGGCUUCACCCUCUUGGCAGAAAAAUAUGUAUGAGAAUGGAGGCAGAAAGAAAUCUUUCCAGUUGGCUAACAGAUGGGAUGGUGAUUCCCUCAUCUCAAAUGUGAUGCACAUUCCCAGGUUUUCUGUUUGGUCCCUGGAGUCCAUAUAUUUGCUCCAUCUAUGGCAGACAUUAUUGAAGUAAAAAUUGUAGAGAGAAAAUGAAUGAGGAACUACCAAGGGCAAUCUGUUUAACUGCCAUUAAAUGCCCCCUAAUAAGUUGUAUAAUGCAAAAUCAUCUUCUGUGCUUAUGUCUUGCCAAAUCUUUAUAGUGAGUCUAAUGCAAAUUUCAUUCACUAAGUUAUAACUGAAUGGUUAAUCAUCAGUUUACUAUUUUUACUAUGCUUCAAUAUGACACAUAGAAGACACACAUGUACCACUGAUAUAUAAAUACUCAGUGUGCUUCUAUGUAGAACCUAUGAUAUACUGAGUAGUUUGCUUUUAAGGCUACAAAAACUUAUUCUUAACACCAUAUUUUAAAAACAACUGUUUUAUUAUAUUUAUUAAAAUUUUAGUUGUCAGCUGCACUGCAAUAAAUAGAAAAAGCACAAACUCUAAUUUCUGUGGAACUAUAUGAAAAAAAUUAGAAAACUGAAAUUAUAGACAGUAAGAGGCCUCCAUGGGACAAAAGCAACCUUAAAAUAUUCAUCACUUUAAAUUUCAUGAUUUUAAAUUUCAAACUUUUGUUUUUUCAGAGGUCAAAAUCCUGUCAAAAGAAUAUGUGCAAGAGGUGUAGAAAUGAUGUCUAGAAAGAAAAUGCAAAUUCCACUGCAAAGAUUGGGACUACAAAACCCAGAGAAGAUCCAACCUUUAACUAUUUUUAUUUUCAGAAAUCAUGCAGAAGUUGUUUAAUAUAUCUAUGUUUCAUUUCCUCUUUUCAGCCCAAUCUACCCCGUUUUCAAUGAAUAAUUUGCCUUGAUUGUUCUUCAUAACAUAUAAAGAGGUUCUGUAUACAGCUGGACAUCUCUGAGCUUCCCCGAGGCAUUAUUUCAUCUGGCUAAAUUCUGACUUCUCAAUUCCCCUCUGAUUGAAGCUACUUAAUUAAGUCAACUGCAAAGUUCCUCCCAUUAAUUCUAAUUUGAAGCUCAUUGUACAACACUAAAGCAAAGGCAUAAGAUGGAAAUCAAAUAUAGAACAUAUAAUAUUAAUCUUAGUGUUCAGCAGGCCACCUGGGUAGGUAAAGAACACAGACACCUACUUCCCACAUCCAAUUGCUAAAUUAAAGUCUAUGGAAGUAAGGGUGAAGUUUUGGAGUUGCUAACAAGCUCUUGUCACUUGAAAUCUAGAGAACUUUUACUUUCCAUAUUUGCUAGUAUAGGAAUGAAUCCUGGAAAUAAGGAAAUCUCACCCCCGUUCUUCACAGCUCUGAAAACAGGCCUAUCUGUGACUGGGUAAGUGAAAGUUCAUGGGGCUGCACAGGGGGAUCUCUUGGCUUUGGUUCUCUUCCUGAACCAUAAAUCCUUAGGGAACAGAGUGCAUAAUUCAUGCUCAUUGUUUCUUUAGCAUACACCUGGAAGUGUGGUGUUCAGAGUCUUUGGGAAGAUUGACAUAAUGUAAAAUGGUGAAGACUGUGACCUUUAAAGUGGUUCUGAUCAUAGAGACAUAUGUACCUGUGAGUGUCUAAAUCACAGUGACUUCUGGUUUGUUCACUUUGUAAAUCCCUAUCUUAGCAAAUAGCAAUGCCCAUUAACCAAGUAGGAAAAGCAUUGUCUCAUCUAGAAGGAAAGCUUCUGAGACUAGCAAAGAGUGUGGGUUGACUGUUCUGACUCAGGAAUGGAUUGUAGAGUUACCAAUAAUGAUACAUUUUACUACGUGGUUGUGUCUGGGUGUGUUCUUAUCUUUAAAUAUGCUAAAACCUCAUUUUAUUCAACCACAGGUUCCACAUGAGCCUGUUACCAACUUGACUUCAAAUAUCUGUGGUUUUCUGAUGCCUUCAGGAAAAACUCUCACCUGUCUAAAGAGUCAAACUCUGAACCAUCAGGAAGUGUUUCUACCGUUGUCAUAGAAACCUGGUCUGCCUUUGGUAGGAUGGAAUCAAGAAAUCAUAAUUAUUAUAAACUAUUGGGAGAGAUGAAGAAGAUUUGGUGAAGAUACAAGCAGGGUCUAUUUUACUACUAUAGCUACUUUAUAUAUGUCUAAAUAGUUUUUUGAUAAAAUUGCUUUUAAGGAAGAUCUCAAAAUUUACUACUAUAUACCAGUUUGUUUUCAAGCUCUUUACCAAAAAGGCAGCUUAUGUUGUUGUUACUUUGUGUGUGUGUGUGUGUGUGUGUGUGUUUGUGUGUGUGUGUGAGAGGGGGGGGGAGAGAGAACAGUGCUCCAUAAAACAUUUACUUUCACUAUAUAUUUUGUUACUCUCGGCCCUGCUUGGUGCUUGGUUAAUAUUUAAGAUGGUGUUGGAAUGUAUGUGACUGACCCCAAGAUGUGUUCACUGGUUAUGUCUCAAAAUUUGAAAGUUGCAAUUUGAAAAAAUAAAUCAUUAGUCAAAUCUUCUGGUGUAUUAGUCUGUGUCAAGAGAAAAGUAGUUUUAGAGAGAGGGAUGAAGGAGAAAAAUCAGUCAUGAAAUUCUUGCCUCCCUUUUUUGAAAGGUCAGGCCCUCCUCUUGGGAGCAGACGUCAUCAGGGAUUGGCUAAAAGUGCGUGCUUCCUUCACAAGCUGCCAGUUCUGUGAGUGAGGAGCCACUGCCCUUAUUUCCGUCCAUUCGUUCCUGGAAAGAGCACAACUUCUGUGAAACUACCCCUCCUCUCUGGCCUUCUUAGCUUCGCUAAUGUGGAGUUCAUUUCCUGUCUGUGUUCAUUUCUCCAACUUGCCCAGGUUGUGAAUUUAUACCCUGUGCUCUCUCUUCCUUUUCCUCUUUCCCUUUAUGAUGAUAGCCCCACUAGCCAGUGCCAUUGACAAAAGUGUCAUCCACCAAAGGGAAGUGACAAAGCAUGCUGAGAUUUGUUCAACACUUAAAUCCCAUUGUAGCAAAGGUCAGAUGAUGCUAGCAGAGUACAGACAAGUCUGAUGUCUAAAAGAAAGCACUGGAUACAUUUAACUUUGGUACUUAAGAAUAAAGUAUGGAGGAACCUUCUGCCCUACAGCAAAUGGCAACCAACUUCCUGUUGGGGAAAAACUUGAGAAUUUGCCAACAUCAAGGAUUCAACACACAUCAAGGAAAUACAGAAUAGCAUCUUCAUACACUAUAAAAUAACCUUUGAGUUUUAAACUAUUUUAUAGGUCACAAAUCCAGGACUUUGCAUAUAACGUAUUUUAUAUAUUUUAUACAUUAUAUAUUUGUGUGGAAUAUUUAGUAACUGAAAACACACAUACAUUGAAUAAACUCCUCCUUCCACUCAUAAAUAUUAUUUUGCUGAGGGGGGCAUUGCCAUUCUUUCAAUUGCAAAAGCUGUAUUUCCUUCACUAUUAAGGUUAAUGAGGGCUGGGGCUCUGUAAUCUACAUGAGUAGGUUAAUUCUCAUGUGUCCUAGAUAGUUGAGAGAGAGAGAUUUGGAACUUCAGCUGAGGGGAGAUACACGCAUUGCCAAACUGAACAUACAAGCAUGCAAAGCCAGUGAGAGAAACUGUGUGCAAUGCCUCAGCUUGCCUUUCAGCACAGCCCGGAUGCUGAGCAAGGGCGGCCAUGCCCCCUGUGCAUGAAGGAGAAACGCCAGUUCAGAAGCUGUAAACAACCUUGGAGAAAGGCUGUUACACGAUUCAAGCUUUGAUUAUAUGAUAGAUGGACAGACAUUUACUAAAAAUUAGCUGAACUGUUAUGACAUUGCUGACAGGACAUUCAUGUGCCAAGUGUAUUUUAGAAGUGAAGAUAUGGCACAAUCGAUCUCCUUCCUGUAUCCAGGAUAUGAGUGUGCAAGUUUCUUCAUGUACAAAGCUAAAAGUUCAAAGUUUCAAAGCAUCACAACUAGAUGAGACUAUUUCAAUUCGUUCACUCAAACCACGUUUUGCCCCAAGGCAAAGGAAGCUAAAUUUUCUCAUGACUUCUUUCCUCCUUCAGGCUGUCUUUACUAUUGAUUAUGGGAAAGACGGGUACUGGAAAAACAACACAACUGAGACAAGAGACUCCUAUUGGUCACAUCUCAUGGUAAAGCAUUAUUAUUGCCUGUAAAUGUUUAGAUGUCUCCAUCUUUUUUUUAAUUGAAGACUGAUAACAUUUUGGAAUCCAUCCUCCCAGCAGACUCAGUUUUAGACAUUGUGCUGGAAAACUAAUUUAAAAAGCAGAACCUAGUAGCAGAGACAAAAAAGACAUGGAUUAGUGAACAUGAUGUGUUAAUGAUGACCACUGUGAACCUCUAAGUCAGACAGAACUAACUAUAGUGACAUAAAGGAGUUCCCAAUGCUGAGGUAGAGAGGAUUGGUUUUGGAAUAGGAAGCAAUUUGGGAGGUGCUAUAUUUUGAUUUUGGUGGUGAUUAUUGGGUAUAUACCGAUGUUUGAAGUCAUUGAGUCAUGUGCCCUAAAUAGGUACAUCUGUAAAGGCUUUCAUUUUAGUUUUUAUUACUUCACUGAGCUUUGCACAGUGUCUUUUGAUCAUAUUCACCCUCCUUCAACUCUUUGCAGUUCCAUCCCCUUUCCUACACACCCGGGUUUUGUGCCAUUUUUAUUUUUAAAAUCCAUCAAGACCAAUUUGUGCUCCCUAAAUGUUUUUUAGAUGUGUGGUCUUUCACUGAAGCAUGAUCAACUUAUCAGGGGCUAUACUCAGAGAAGAAAUUGUCUCUCUUUCUCCCCAUAGCUGGCAAUUGCCUUGUGAGGAAGAGAUGGGGUACAAAUGCUUCAUUUAAUGCUGAUAAUUUUGCACUCUCUUAUUCUCUGUAGCUUGGCUAUCUGUGGGUCUCUGUGUUAAUCACCAUUUACUACAAAAAGAAGCUUCUCAGAUGAGACUUGACUGAUGCUUUGACACAUGGGUGUAAUAUUUCAUUCAGGAGUUGUUUUGGUACUAUGUCAGUUUAAUAAUAUAAUAGUCGUAGGUCCUCUCCUAGGGCCCAUGGCAUGUCUGUCCCAUUCACUGUGCCAGGUAUGGGUUUCAUCUUGUGGAGUGGGACUUAAAUCCAAUCAAAAGCUCAUACACACAUGCGCAAAGAGUUAAAUGGAGUUACCCUACAACAAGGCAACACCCAUACUAGACACUAGAAACUAACAAAAAGAAGCCCAGUCCAUGGAAUGGGUUACAAGGGUACAUUUUCUCAAUAAAGUUACAAAUCUGAACUGAGGUAAUAUGGGAGGUAAAGAGGCAAUGUAGAUACAGUAGAGAUGAGUGUCCUUUAGAAAAUUUUCAGCCGUGAAAACUGUUAAGUUUAUAGCUAAUGCUGUGGUCUGACAUCCUGCACUGGCCUCCUUGGGCAAGGUGGAGAGAAAAUUGAGUCACUCCCGCUUGUGGCCAUGUGAUCAAACAGAACUCAGAAACAGGACACUUCCAAAACCUGAAGAUUCUAGUCAGAGUCAGAGGGCCCUUGUCCAUCUAAGAGUGUGACAGCUAAAUAUACUUCCCGCCCUCUUUGAGAUAGUACCACCCACAUUCAGGGUGGGUCUUCACACAUCAGUUAAACAUCUCUGGGAAAAUCCUCCACAUGCCCAGAGAUGUGUCUUCUAUUUGAUUAUAGAUCAUAUCAAAUUGGCAACCAAGAUUAAAUAUCACAGAACAUAUGCAGCCAAAUCAUGCCACCAAAGUCCUUCUGGAUGUGGGUUUAGAAUAGCAGCAGCCAGAAUGCAGAGUUUCUUUCUGAAGUGAUAAAUGUGUUCAAAACAUGAUAAGUUGAUGGUUAUACCACCAAGUUUGAACCAUAUACUCUAAGCGGGUGACUUGUGUAGCAUGUAUAUUAUGUCUCAUUGAUGUGAUUCUUUUUAGAUGGCAACAUAAUCAAUCCUAUAUGAGCCAGAGAGAUAAGGAAACUUUGCCCACAAGCCAAAGCAAAGUUAACUGGAUGAAACCCUUCAUUUUUGUUUUCUUCGAUUCAUACUUAAUGUUAAACCAACAAGAUACAGAUAGAGUUACUUCAGAACAACUUGCUAUUCCAUUCAUAUGACAAAGAAAGAUAUAACUAUCUCCACUUUCAAAGAGUAAUAUGACUUCCAUUUCUGUUAAUUUAUAACCUUGGAUAACCUGAAAAACGUCCUUAACUAAAAUAAAAAUUGUGUCCAAUAUUA